UCCUGGUUAGCUCAGUUGUUAGAGGGCUCCACUGAAAAUGAAGAGGUUUCUGGUUCGAUACCAGGUCCGGGUC
rnacentral:tRNA from 2 species